UACAGAGGUCUCAAGCGUUGUUCGGAUUCAUUGGGCGUAAAGGGCGCGUAGGCGGCGGGGUAAGUCGGGUGUGAAAUCUCAGAGCUCAACUCCGAAACUGCAUUCGAUACUGCCGUGCUUGAGGACUGGAGAGGAGACUGGAAUUUACGGUGUAGCGGUGAAAUGCGUAGAUAUCGUAAGGAAGACCAGUGGCGAAGGCGGGUCUCUGGACAGUUCCUGACGCUGAGGCACGAAGGCCAGGGGAGCAAACGGG
rnacentral:rRNA from 1 species